rnacentral:miRNA from 1 species
UGCUCAGUAGGCAGUGUAGAUCCU